GUAAGCAACCCUCGGAUUGAAUCCGAGGGCUUCAGCAAAUACUGAAGCCCAGGUUACCAGACUCAGUAUCUCGCGUACUACGUUCAAAAUAAGCGUUAAAGACCUACCAGGGAAUGCGUAGCUAGUUCCCUACUCUAGAACCAAAAAGUUAAACAGGCUUAAGGGUUAAACCAGUGCUUUUUGGAUAGUUACCGAUUUUGAACUUUGUCGUUCGCGCAGCGUGUCCCCUUGGGACUCAGCUAACUUUAC
rfam:Scytonema tolypothrichoides VB-61278 scaffold_11, whole genome shotgun sequence.